CGAAGGGACCAAGCGUUGUUCGGAUUUACUGGGCGUAAAGGGCGCGUAGGCGGCAGUUCAAGUCAGUUGUGAAAUCUCCGAGCUUAACUCGGAACGGUCAACUGAUACUGUUUUGCUAGAGUGCAGAAGGGGCAAUCGGAAUUCUUGGUGUAGCGGUGAAAUGCGUAGAUAUCAAGAGGAACACCUGAGGUGAAGACGGGUUGCUGGGCUGACACUGACGCUGAGGCGCGAAAGCUAGGGUAGCAAACGGGAUUAGAUACCCCGGUAGUCCUAGCCCUAAACGAUGAAUACUUGGUGUCUGGAGUAAUUUUAUUCUCCGGGUGCCGUCGCUAACGUUUUAAGUAUUCCGCCUGGGGAGUACGCACGCAAGUGUG
rnacentral:rRNA from 1 species